rnacentral:lncRNA from 7 species
UUUUUAUAUUUUUUAUUUAAUUCUUUAGAGAUUCAUUAACACACAAGAGACAAGAUAUUGAAUAGGACUGUAUGUGUCAAGUGUACAGUCAUGAGGUGAGUUGAUGAGAAAGUCUGGAUACAAUCUAGGUCAAAGCGACACUAGCAUAUCCUCUAUCUCAGGCUCUGUAGGCGACAGAUGAAUAAUUUUUUAGAAAAUAAAAAUA